GACCAGACUCCUACGGGAGGCAGCAGUGAGGAAUAUUGGUCAAUGGUCGGGAGACUGAACCAGCCAAGCCGCGUGAGGGAUGAAGGUACAGAGUAUCGUAAACCUCUUUUGUCAGGGAACAAAGGCGGGGACGCGUCCCCGGAUGAGUGUACCUGAAGAAAAAGCAUCGGCUAACUCCGUGCCAGCAGCCGCGGUAAUACGGAGGAUGCGAGCGUUAUCCGGAUUUAUUGGGUUUAAAGGGUGCGUAGGCGGGCUGUUAAGUCAGCGGUCAAAUGUCGGGGCUCAACCCCGGCCUGCCGUUGAAACUGGCGUUCUUGAGUGGGCGAGAAGUAUGCGGAAUGCGUGGUGUAGCGGUGAAAUGCAUUGAUAUCACGCAGAACUCCGAUUGCGAAGGCAGCAUACCGGCGCCCAACUGACGCUGAAGCACGAAAGCGUGGGUAUCGAACAGGAUUAGAUACCCUUGUAU
rnacentral:rRNA from 1 species